GGGUGUGGCAGCACUAACGCUGCCGCAGGCAAUUUGGAUGGUCGGGCCGCCAUCC
rnacentral:ncRNA from 1 species